UUUAAUUGAAACCAAAUGAGAGGUUUAUCACUGUUAAUGAUAUCAUUGAGUCCAACUCCAAUUAA
rnacentral:tRNA from 1 species